AUUGAACGCUGGCGGCAGGCUUAACACAUGCAAGUCGAGCGGGGGAAGGCAGCUUGCUACCGGACCUAGCGGCGGACGGGUGAGUAAUGCUUAGGAAUCUGCCUAUUAGUGGGGGACAACAUCUCGAAAGGGAUGCUAAUACCGCAUACGUCCUACGGGAGAAAGCAGGGGAUCUUCGGACCUUGCGCUAAUAGAUGAGGCUAAGUCGGAUUAGCUAGUUGGUGGGGUAAAGGCCUACCAAGGCGACGAUCUGUAGCGGGUCUGAGAGGAUGAUCCGCCACACUGGGACUGAGACACGGCCCAGACUCCUACGGGAGGCAGCAGUGGGGAAUAUUGGACAAUGGGGGGAACCCUGAUCCAGCCAUGCCGCGUGUGUGGAGAAGGCCUUAUGGUUGUAAAGCACUUUAAGCGAGGAGGAGGCUACUCUAGUUAAUACCUAGGGAUAGUGGACGUUACUCGCAGAAUAAGCACCGGCUAACUCUGUGCCAGCCGCCGCCGUAA
rnacentral:rRNA from 1 species